ensembl:lncRNA
GUAAGUGAUUAGCUGCACAACGCGCGGCGCUGACUUAAAUCAAAAACUAAACACUGUUAAAUCCCUAAUCGAUAGGAAGGAAGAAUAAAGCGCCUGGCAGACAGUGCCGUCCGCGUCAGGUGAUGUGAUUGUACAGAAUCGGUUGGCCUGGAACCAAUUGUAUCUUCAUUCAGCAUUAAAAUAGACACGCUCGUUUGUAAUUGUUUUCCUCUGGGCUGUGUUUGAAACUGUGACCCCGCUGGGCGGUCCGCUCACCUGCCAGGCUCUGCGGCGUUUCUCCCACCGGCAGCGUCGCGUUAAAGAGUCUGCCGAUUAGACAGCGCCCGGGUGGUUUCUGGAAAGGCUGAUAAGUGUUUUGGAGGCACCCUGCAGAGCAAGCCUCACACGCAGAAGAUGUGAAUUCGACACCGCACCCCGCCUAUGAGCGGAAAAUAACAACAACACUUAACACAGACCCAGCUCCACAUGUCAGGCCUUCAUCAUGGGCUUGUUCCUCCCUCGUCCCCACGCCGCUACCCCCACAGCGGAGGCAGCCAACAGGGCCAGGACGCGGGGGAUGGACGAGGGGAACACGAGCACCAGGACACACAAAUCAUACGCCGCCACCAAACACUCAAUGGC